rnacentral:sRNA from 1 species
AGCUUUUGUUGAAGGAGCUUUUUUUCUGUUCUGGUGAAUUCUUUCCUUGGGGGCCGUAGGGUCCCAGCCACUGACAGCAGGAUGGCUUUAAGAAAUGGCUCAGGGAACUGUUGGAGGCGUGUUCAUCACGACGGCAGGUUCCACGUCUAACGGCACAAGGUUCUCUGCCAGUGACCUGACCAACGGUGCAGAUGGGAUGCUGGCCACAAGCUCCAAUGGGUCUCAGUACAGCGGCUCCAGGGUGGAGACUCCGGUGUCCUACGUCGGGGAGGAUGACGAGGAGGAUGACGACUUCAACGAGAAUGACGAGGACGACUGACGCCCCCCCCACUUCAGACUCGGCUUCAGGAAAACCUUCAGCGACUGACGCCCCCCCCACUUCAGACUCGGCUUCAGGAAAACCUUCAGCGAAAAGAAACUUCUUUUUUAAUGUGGGUUUUCUGUUUCCUUUUGGCCUACUCCCAAGAAGAUAUUGGUAAGCUAUUGAAUUUAGAUACGCACCUCUGAUAAGCAAGGAUUGUUUCCCGUAGGAUUAGGACGUGCUGUGGAUGUGUGUUUUGAUACCAGUGUGCUGAUGCAGAGCGUUUAUUUACUGGUUAGGAUUUUGUGUUUUCAUUUGCUAUUUUUCUCUAAGUGCAGAGUUCAUUUUUGCCCCUGAAAAGUUUUUGCUGAGUUUGCUGAAGAAAUUGUAUUUCAACCACAUCCAUGAAAAUAAAACACCUCCUGUUGUGGAUGGUGAGCCCCUGAUGCCGCUUAUUUGCCGUGAGUUUGGACGGCGCCCCCUGAUGCCGCUUAUUUGCCGUGAGUUUGGACGGCGCCCCUG